rnacentral:lncRNA from 1 species
UUUUUUUUUUUUUUUUAACCUCUGUAUACCUACAACCUAGUCACUGAAUGGUAAGGUCCAAUAAAUAAUUUUAAUCAAAAAGAUUUACAGAAGACCUCAUCCCAAGAAAGAGGCAUAAGGAAGAUUCUAACCCCAAGCCUGACUGCGUAGCCCAUGCUUAUAACCCCGGUGUACUAAUGCCUGGCUUUUCCUCCCCUAGUACCUCCCUGAAUUCAGCUCUCCUCUUGCUGGUGUCUGGCUACCCGGAUAGAAGAGAACACAAGCAGUAAGCAAUAAUGCUUCAAGGCUUCAGUUCAGCUGUUGGCUCCCCGGGAAGGCUCUGUGAUCACUGUCACAGUUGUGGCCUCCCCGGUGUACUGUAUUCGAUGGUGAAGUGGGAAGAACACCUGCUCUGGAUUUGAGGUGGUUUGGAACUGAGUCCUGCCUCUGCCUGGUAUGUAUGAGCUGUGCGACCCGAAGCCAGCCACAGUUUCUCCGAGCUUCAGGUGCCUCGUUUGUAGGUGGGGAUAAGAACUCUCAUUUUAUUUAACACUCUGGGGAUGUUUUAAGAUCCAAAUCAAUAAGUUGAUGUGUAUGAAGCAUUUAUACAGUGUAACAUGCUUCACAGGCGUUUGCUUAGUUUAAGAGGUCAGGUUGAAAUUCCAGUGGGAAAGCAGAAGGAUGUGGGCUGCCUGGAUAUGGACAGAAACAUGGCAUCUGGGCACCUGGGUGGCUCAGUGGUUGAGCAUCUGCCUUCAGCUCAGGUCAUGAUCCCAGGGUUCCAGAAUCAAGUCCUGCAUCAGGUUCCCCACAGGGAGCCUGCUUCUCCCUCUGCCUAUGUGUCUGCCUCUCUGUGUGUGUCUCCUAUGGAUAAAUAAAUUUAAAAAGAAGAAGAAGAAAGAAAGAAAUGUGGCAGCUACUGUGGCCAUCUUAGUGAGCAUCUCUCCACUCCUUUCCUGUCCAACCUGUGAGUCGCAGCCAGUCCUUCCCUCACUCAUUCCUUCACUCAUCACAUAUCCACUGAGUGCCCAUCUGUAUCAGGUACUAGACCUUGAAUAUACUAAAAUGAAUAAAGAUACGAUCCCAUCUUUUCCUCCAGGAAGCUCAUCAUCUGCUGGGGAGACAGUUAAAUUGAAAACUGUUAUUGAACACCUGUCUUAUUCGGUCACGUGUGACCUUUGUACUAGUUAACCUCCCCCCGCCCCAUCUGUCUUACUCAUUAUCAACUAGUUUGGGCUGUAGUGUUCACAUCUGUAAUCUCCAUAUACAAGUUUGCUUCUGCAUGCUACAGCCUAUUGAUUAGUUUGCCUGGGACUGUUAUCACAUUCAUUUCACAAAGUUUUGCUCUUUCCAUUUCCAGUUUUUGUUUUAUUUCUUCAGCAUUUUCCGAAUGCCUUUGUGUUUGGAAAGUUUCAGCUUUGUCUCAAAGCAAUAAUUACAUCUCACUCUGGUAUCAUGCGUACUAUGUGCCCAGUGCUAUUCCAAAACUGAAUGCACAGUGACAUGAUUAGCAGUCUAUUUGAUCUCUCCUUACAUGUAUCCAUAGCAUUUUCCUGGUUUCAUAGAGUUCUUAUAGUUCUUACAAAUAUUUAAACCUUUGAAUAAAAGCAUAAAUGUAUAAAAAUGCAAAAGAUGUUAAGUGAUUAAAUCUUCAGAAAUACGAAUAAUUCUUAUGAAUAGUUUUCUGCUCUGUAUUGUACCACACAACAGUGACACAUUUACUGUUACAUGUUACAUUCUGAGCUAAUUUUAGAAAAGAUUACAUAAAAUACACCAGAAACACAUGCAUUUCUUAUAAAUGGCCAGGAGCUAUUUGUGCCCUGUCAGCAUCAAUAUUUAUAAACCGUUGUGGAUUUCACAUGACCACUGGCUGGAUUAUUCAUAUGAACAACCUACCUACCUAUCAUUAACUGGAGAAACAUGCCUCGGUCCUCCAGACACAACAGAGGUAGGGAAGGGAAAGCAGAAGGUGUGACCUGUAUUAAUGGAAUAAUGUAGGAAGUAACAUAGCUCAAUUAAGAAGGAAAAGGAGGAAGAGUUUUGGAACAUGGUAUUAGUCUGCUAGGGCUGCCAUAAUACCAAAAUACCACAGACUGGGUGGUUAAACAAUAGAAAUUUAUUUCUCACAGUUCUGGAGGCUGGGAGUCUGAGAUGAAGGUGUCUAUAGGUUUGGUUUUUCCUGAGGCCUCUCUCCUUGGUUUGCAUAUGGCUGCCUUCAUGCUGUGUCCUUACAUGAUGUUUUCUCUGUAUGAUACAUGCCUGGUGUCUUUCUGUGUGUCUGAAUUUCCUCUUCUUAUAAAGACACCAGUAAGAUUGGGUUUGGGCCCACCCAUGACACCUCAUUGAACCUUGAUUACAUCCUUAAAAGACCUAUUUCUAAAUGCAGUCUCAUUGGGAGUCAGGCUUCAACAGAUGAAUUUUGGGGGAACACAAUUCAGCCCAUCACAAACAUCUUUAAACCCUGACUCCAAUAUCACGCCCUCUGGAAAGCCUUCCCAGAUUUUCUCAGGUAAACUUAAUUGUAGGGAUUCUCAUAUCACACUGCUGUCAUGUGCUACAUUGUGUUAUAAUGAUCUUUUCUCCAGGCUGUACUUAUCCCCUCCCCUGACUCUUAGACUGGGAACUUUUCAACUGGGAGGCUUUCUUCAUUAUCCCUAUCACCCAGCAGUGGGUAGGUGCAGCAGACAAAGCAGUAUUAUAAGAUGACUCAUCAGUGAAGUCAAGAUAGAAUGUGUUGGGUUUCUCAAAAGAAACCAGCUGGGUAUCUUCAAGCCAAGUGAGCAGAAUGCUGAAAGGCUAUCAAGUUAAAGGAAAGAUUUGACCAACUAUAAGUCCAGAUCCAGAAACUAGGCAUACAGACAUGAGGAGCAGGAUUAAAGGUGACUGAAAUGCUAAGACAAUGUGUUGUAGUAGGAAGAGUUCCUGAGUGCAGGAACCAGGCAGUCAAGAUUCAAAUUCCAUUUUUGUCUUUUAUGAGCAAGGCAUUCAAUUGCUCUGAGUUACAGUUGGCUUCAUAGUAACAUGAGAUAAUAUGAACUAGUUGGUAGGAGUGUCUGAGUUAAAUAAAGAAACUCAUGUAGAGAGCCCACUAUCAGAUCUGGUACCCAGUGGGUGACUGACCAAUGAUAGAAACUUCCACCACCACACAGUCUCAAAGCCUCCAAAAUGCUGCCUAGGUAAUCAAGAUGGAAAUCCACAGAGACCUUGAGGACCGGAAAAAAAACAAACUGAUUUGGAAACAUCUGACCUGCCAGAGGGAGGCCUUCUAGAUCCACCACGGCAGAGAAAAAUAGUCAUAGCAUUACUAAUGUUGAGGUUUUCCUUUAAAAAUUUACAUUAAGCCUCCUUAGAGUUCAAAUGAAAUGCAUUCCCAUGAUAAUACUCAGAGCUUAAUGCUCAUAACAUUUCAGAAUAAAAAAAAAUCAGUUCUGUGUUUACUUUGUGCUUAUUAAACAGAAAAAAGAUGAAAGGAGCAAAUAGAAGAAAGACAACCAAGAUUAUUUCCAAUUUCUUGGGAUAUCCCUUCCACCUGGAUGCUUUGAUAAUGGCAUAGCAGAGAGCAAAGUGUAGGGUUAUAUGAAGCUCAAAAACAAGAAGGAAAAAGUCACUCACUUCUGUCAUCCAGAUGUUUCAUUUGUAAGGUAACAAACAGCUAAAGGCUCAGGUAUCAGAAGAAAUGACUCCAGAUUUAAAUUGUCUUAAUUUUUCACAGACCUGCAGAAUCAUAGAGUGCGAAGAUCUCAAGAGAGUCAUCUGGAAAUUGUGUAAAUUUCAAAACUCCUGGUUUGGUGUUUGUUUGUUUGUUUGUUUGUUUUGUUUUAUUUUGUUUUUUUGAGAACGACAGAAGAGGGAAUUUUAUCACCAGCCACAAGAGCCCAUUCUGCUGUUUAAAUAUGCUCGCCUCAGAAAAAUGCCUCUUAGAGCCGAAGUGUUUCUGCUGGGAAAAAAAAAAAAAAAAUGCAGGUCAUUUGUUUCACCCAAAGGGCAGAUAAUAUGGAGUCUAUUUAUAUAAAAGUGACUCUGUAACUUACUGAAUGAGAGACAGUAAAGGCU